CGAGGGGUAGAAGGAGCUUGCUCCUUUGAGACCGGCGCACGGGUGCGUAACGCGUAUGCAAUCUACCUUUCACAGAGGGAUAGCCCAGAGAAAUUUGGAUUAAUACCUCAUAGUAUAGCAGUUUCGCAUGAAACCACUAUUAAAGUCACAACGGUGAAAGAUGAGCAUGCGUCCCAUUAGCUAGUUGGUAAGGUAACGGCUUACCAAGGCAACGAUGGGUAGGGGUCCUGAGAGGGAGAUCCCCCACACUGGUACUGAGACACGGACCAGACUCCUACGGGAGGCAGCAGUGAGGAAUAUUGGACAAUGGGCGCAAGCCUGAUCCAGCCAUGCCGCGUGCAGGAUGACGGUCCUAUGGAUUGUAAACUGCUUUUGUACAGGAAGAAACACCUCUACGUGUAGAGACUUGACGGUACUGUAAGAAUAAGGAUCGGCUAACUCCGUGCCAGCAGCCGCGGUAAUACGGAGGAUCCAAGCGUUAUCCGGAAUCAUUGGGUUUAAAGGGUCCGUAGGCGGUUUAGUAAGUCAGUGGUGAAAGCCCAUCGCUCAACGGUGGAACGGCCAUUGAUACUGCUAGACUUGAAUUAUUAGGAAGUAACUAGAAUAUGUAGUGUAGCGGUGAAAUGCUUAGAGAUUACAUGGAAUACCAAUUGCGAAGGCAGGUUACUACUAAUUGAUUGACGCUGAUGGACGAAAGCGUGGGUAGCGAACAGGAUUAGAUACCCUGGUAGUCCACGCCGUANACGAUGGAUACUAGCUGUUGGGCGCAAGUUCANUGGCUAAGCGAAAGUGAUAAGUAUCCCACCUGGGGAGUACGUUCGCAAGAAUGAAACU
rnacentral:rRNA from 1 species